GAAUGGCACCACGAAGGUUACACUGUCUCCUUUUUCUAAUCAGUAAAACUAAUCUUCCCGUGAAGAAGCGGGGAUCCUUAUAUAAGACGAGAAGACCCUAUGGAGCUUUAAACGAAAUAACAUCUACCAACUCAACCAACAAUUUCAGAAAAUUAACACUAAACUUGGUAUAAUGAUUACUAGUUUUAGGUUGGGGUGACCGCGGAGCAAAAAACAACCUCCGCAUUGAAUGGACCUACACUCCUAAACAAAAAACCACAACUUUAUGUAUCAACAUAUUGACAUCCAUUGACCCAUUAAUUUGAUCAACGAACCAAGUUACCCUAGGGAUAACAGCGCAAUCCAUUUCAAGAGCCCCUAUCGACAAAUGG
rnacentral:rRNA from 1 species